GGCCGCCUGGCGAAAUGGCAUCGCGUCUGACUACGAUAUACGUUGUUUGCGACAACAUAUCGAAAUCAGGAGAUUGCAGGUUCGACCCCUGCGGUGGUCA